GAUGAAGAACGUAGCGGAAUGCGAUACGUAAUGUGAAUUGCAGAAUUCAGUGAAUCAUCGAAUCUUUGAACGCAUAUUGCGCUCUUUGGUAUUCCGAAGAGCAUGCUUGUUUGAGUAUCAGUAAACACCUCAACCUCUUCUUGAUUUUUCAAAAGGAGGGUGGACUUGAGCUAUCCCAACAACCUUUACCGGUCGGCGGGCGGCUUGAAAUGCAGGUGCAGCUGGACUUUUAUCUGAGCUAAAAGCAUAUCUAUUUAGUCCUCGUCAAACAGGAUUAUUACUUUUGCUGCAGCUAACAUAAAGGAUAAUUGUCCUCUUUGCUGACUGAUGCAGGAUUUUACGACACUUUAUGUGUUGUUCAACUCGAUCUCAAAUCAAGUAAGACUACCCGCUGAACUUAAGCAUAUCAAUAAGCGGAGGA
rnacentral:misc_RNA from 1 species